rnacentral:misc_RNA from 1 species
AAGUCGUAACAAGGUUUCCGUAGGUGAACCUGCGGAAAGAUCAUUAACACGUAUCCAAACGUUAAAACCCCCCCCCGUGAACCUUCAUCCUGCUCUUGUAACCCGCGUAGUUCGCAAUCUCUGAUAAAUCAUAGCCCGGAAAGUUGUAGUGAUUCAGAGACCUCUGGCUACGUGAGAACAUUGGAACAGUUACAUUCGAGCGGUAGUUCUAUAGGCAAUGUUUCCCCAAGCGGUCUACAGGAAUCGUAGAAGCGCUAUCCUUGCACAAUCAAUGACACCGUACACUCGGGCAGGAGCUUUGCCAAAGGGUCCCCAUGCCCCCUAAUAACCCCACAGUUUAUUGUGAAGCUCAAUGUAAUAACCGAACAAACUGUUAACAAUGGAUAUCUUGGUUCUC